CAGUCGCCGCGGGAACACGUAGGGUGCAAGCGUUAAUCGGAAUUACUGGGCGUAAAGCGUGCGCAGGCGGUUUGUUAAGACAGAUGUGAAAUCCCCGGGCUCAACCUGGGAACUGCAUUUGUGACUGGCAGGCUAGAGUAUGGCAGAGGGGGGUGGAAUUCCGCGUGUAGCAGUGAAAUGCGUAGAUAUGCGGAGGAACACCGAUGGCGAAGGCAGCCCCCUGGGCCAAUACUGACGCUCAUGCACGAAAGCGUGGGGAGCAAACAGGAUUAGAUACCCCGGUAGUCCCUGUCUCUUAUAC
rnacentral:rRNA from 1 species